CUUUGGCACGCAGAGAUAGGGUGAAGAAGCCUGGUUGGGUUCAGCCGAGCGCAGCGAGACCACGUUGCCUUCAGGCAACGCCCGAAGGGGCGCGAGCUUGCGAGCGAUAAAUCCCUAUCUCUCCGCCA
rnacentral:sRNA from 1 species